CAGUGAAGGAUGUGACCAAGAAUUCCUGUACUGUCGCAUGGGACAUACCAGAGAAUGAAGGAGGGGCACCAGUAAAGAAUUAUUUUGUGGACAUAAGGGACAUCAGCAGAAUGGGAUGGACCAGGCUCACGGACAAAUGCCACAGGCUGUCGUACCGAGUGUCAGACCUGGAAGAGGGCGGAAUCUACUUCUUCAGAAUCACUGCAGAAAAUGAGUUUGGGAUUGGAGUACCAGCGGAGACAAAGGAGGGAGUCAAAUUAACAGAUCCUACAGACUGGGAGACAAAUGCAGGAGCAUAAAUGUUCAAAAGAAACAAUGUGCUGAUGAUGAUAAUAAUGGUUUUAAUGUUUAAGAAUAAUCUUAUGUUUCCUUUGCAAACUUUUAUAGGCAUAAUAAGAUAAUAUAUUAUAGAAUUAAUAACACCAAUAAUGUCAUUUUGUAAACAAAUUUGAUUUGCUGGUUUUAUUAAACUUUGUUUAAUGCCA